rnacentral:rRNA from 1 species
CGAGGGGCAGCAUGGUCUUAGCUUGCUAAGGCUGAUGGCGACCGGCGCACGGGUGAGUAACACGUAUCCAACCUGCCGUCUACUCUUGGCCAGCCUUCUGAAAGGAAGAUUAAUCCAGGAUGGGAUCAUGAGUUCACAUGUCCGCAUGAUUAAAGGUAUUUUCCGGUAGACGAUGGGGAUGCGUUCCAUUAGAUAGUAGGCGGGGUAACGGCCCACCUAGUCAACGAUGGAUAGGGGUUCUGAGAGGAAGGUCCCCCACAUUGGAACUGAGACACGGUCCAAACUCCUACGGGAGGCAGCAGUGAGGAAUAUUGGUCAAUGGGCGAUGGCCUGAACCAGCCAAGUAGCGUGAAGGAUGACUGCCCUAUGGGUUGUAAACUUCUUUUAUAAAGGAAUAAAGUCGGGUAUGCAUACCCGUUUGCAUGUACUUUAUGAAUAAGGAUCGGCUAACUCCGUGCCAGCAGCCGCGGUAAUACGGAGGAUCCGAGCGUUAUCCGGAUUUAUUGGGUUUAAAGGGAGCGUAGAUGGAUGUUUAAGUCAGUUGUGAAAGUUUGCGGCUCAACCGUAAAAUUGCAGUUGAUACUGGAUGUCUUGAGUGCAGU